rnacentral:rRNA from 1 species
GACAAAACCCUCAAUCUUGAGCAUUGCUGUGUGUGAAAACCCAUCAGCUUUUCUUGGCUUUCAGGUCUAUGCUUCUAUAUUUACACUAUAGGAAUGUAUUAGAAUGUUGUAAAUGGGCCUUUUGUGCCUUUAAAACAUAAAUACAACUUUCAACAACGGAUCUCUUGGCUCUCGCAUCGAUGAAGAACGCAGCGAAAUGCGAUAAGUAAUGUGAAUUGCAGAAUUCAGUGAAUCAUCGAAUCUUUGAACGCACCUUGCACUCCUUGGUAUUCCGAGGAGUAUGCCUGUUUGAGUGUCAUGAAAUUCUCAACCUUUCUGGCUCUUGUGAGACAAGUUAGGCUUGGACAAUGGGAGUUGCUGGCUCUUUCUUUGUAAAAGUCAGCUCUUCUCAAAUGCAUUAGCAGGAUCAUCGCUGGUCAUCUUUGGUAUGAUAAUUAUCUAUACCACUGACAAUCAGUGUCCUUCAUGGAAGAUUUUGCUUCUAGUAGUCUCUCCAGAGACAAUAU